rnacentral:lncRNA from 1 species
GUCAGGUUUAGAUUCAAUUUUCUAAAUGAAUUCAGCUGGACUCACAGCCCUAGAGGUGCCCUUAAGCAGAGAAAUUUUUAGGGAAGAUGGUUAGAUUAGGUGAUAAUUGCAGGACAGAAUAAAAGUUGAACAGCUGUUUUUCUUUCUUUCUAGAUUUUUGAGGAGAACCGAAUCUGCUGAGCAUAUUUGAGAAAAUGGGAAAACAAUGGACUUUGCACAUUGUUCGUGCUGAAAAUUAAAACCUUAAUAAUUUAACCAGAAGAGAAAAUGGCCACUUGUGAGGAAAAUGAAGCAAUACGUAAGUGCAGAGUGGACUGUAAAAAAAGGCUUUGGCAAAUAGAAGAAAAUGUGGAAAACCGGGAAGAGCCUGCUUAUAGAGAUGAACAAGUAGAGUGCAAAGCAUCCCUCUGAAGAGACUGCUUAAGGCCUUGGCAGUUGAGCUGUUUGAUGACUGGACCUUCACUCCAUGUUUCUCUGUAAAGUGUCUACUGAAUUGCUGCUGUACAAAUGGGUAUAUAAAUGUCUGUCACAAACAAGGUCAGUCAUUGACUCCUUUCUCCUCUUUCAUCUGCUCUCAUGACCUGUUGCCUUAAAGUGCUCACAUGUCAAAUUCAGUUAAAGCUGCUUGCAGCUUUCUAGCUGCUUCCUAGAUAAAUCAUGUUUGCCUUGAUUGGCUUCUGUCCUCAUACAGGGAAAUAAAACACUGAGAAACCAAUAGAGGGGAAAAUAU